GGAGAGAUGACCGAGCGGCUGAAGGUGCACGCCUGGAAAGCGUGUAUACGAGAAAUCGUAUCAGGGGUUCAAAUCCCCUUCUCUCCG
rnacentral:tRNA from 1 species